rnacentral:rRNA from 1 species
UACGUAGGUGGCAAGCGUUGUUCGGAAUUACUGGGCGUAAAGGGCGCGUAGGCGGUCUUGCAAGUCCUGUGUGAAGUCCCUCGGCUCAACUGAGGAACUGCACAGGAAACUGCUUGGCUUGAGUUCGGGAGAGGGAAGCGGAAUUCCGGGUGUAGCGGUGAAAUGCGUAGAUAUCCGGAGGAACACCGGUGGCGAAGGCGGCUUCCUGGACCGACACUGACGCUGAGGCGCGAAAGCUAGGGGAGCAAACGGG